UGGGGAAUCUUGCGCAAUGGGCGAAAGCCUGACGCAGCAACGCCGCGUGCGGGAUGAAGGCCUUCGGGUUGUAAACCGCUUUCAGCAGGGAAGAAAUUGACGGUACCUGCAGAAGAAGCCCCGGCCAACUACGUGCCAGCAGCCGCGGUAACACGUAGGGGGCGAGCGUUGUCCGGAUUUAUUGGGCGUAAAGAGCUCGUAGGCGGUUCGCUAAGUCGGGUGUGAAACCUCCAGGCUCAACCUGGAGACGCCACCUGAUACUGGUGUGACUAGAGUCCGGUAGGGGAGUGUGGAACUCCUGGUGUAGCGGUGAAAUGCGCAGAUAUCAGGAAGAACACCAGCGGCGAAGGCGGCACUCUGGGCCGGUACUGACGCUGAGGAGCGAAAGCGUGGGUAGCAAACAGGAUUAGAUACC
rnacentral:rRNA from 1 species